rnacentral:rRNA from 1 species
UCGUGGAUCGAUUUGUCUGGUUUAUUCCGAUAACGAGCGAGACUCUAGCCUACUAAAUAGUGGCCGGAUUAUUAAUGUCCGGUCCGCUUCUUAGAGGGAUUUUCGGUGUUUAGCCGCACGAGAUUGAGCAAUAACA